rnacentral:rRNA from 1 species
GACGAACGCUGGCGGCGUGCUUAACGCAUGCAAGUCGAACGGUGAAGCUCCAGCUUGCUGGAGUGGAUCAGUGGCGAACGGGUGAGUAACACGUGAGCAACCUGCCCCUGACUCUGGAAUAAGCGCUGGAAACGGCGUCUAAUACUGGAUACGAGAAGGGUCCGCAUGGGCACUUUCUGGAAAGUUUUUCGGUUGGGGAUGGGCUCGCGGCCUAUCAGCUUGUUGGUGAGGUAAUGGCUCACCAAGGCGACGACGGGUAGCCGGCCUGAGAGGGCGACCGGCCACACUGGGACUGAGACACGGCCCAGACUCCUACGGGAGGCAGCAGUGGGGAAUAUUGCACAAUGGGCGAAAGCCUGAUGCAGCGACGCCGCGUGAGGGAUGACGGCCUUCGGGUUGUAAACCUCUUUCAGCAGGGAUGAAGCGAAAGUGACGGUACCUGCAGAAGAAGCACCGGCUAACUACGUG